AAGACUAUACUUUCAGGGAUCAUUUCUAUAGUUUGUAACUAGAGAAGUGUGGUUGGAAGUGUCUGACCUUGCUAACCACGAUAAAGAGUUAAAGUGUUCUCUUCUGAGCAUGAAGUGAGUGGAUAGUGGUGCUUUAAUGCACCUGCUAGUGAUGAGUGUUCUUGCUUUUCUUUUAGGAAGCCGAGAGGAAGAAAACACAGACUGAGUGGU